rnacentral:rRNA from 1 species
UACGAAGGGGGGCUAGCGUUGCUCGGAAUGACUGGGCGUAAAGGGCGCGUAGGCGGUUCGUACAGUCAGACGUGAAAUUCCCGGGCUCAACCUGGGGGCUGCGUUUGAUACGUACGGGCUUGAGUUCGGAAGAGGGUCGUGGAAUUCCCAGUGUAGAGGUGAAAUUCGUAGAUAUUGGGAAGAACACCGGUGGCGAAGGCGGCGACCUGGUCCGAUACUGACGCUGAGGCGCGAAAGCGUGGGGGAGCAAACAGG